AACUAAAUAAACUUAAUUACAACUAAGUGAACCAUAAUAAUAACAGCUAAAUUAAAUGAAGACUAAAUAAACUCAAUUACAACUAAAACGAAUUAUAACGAUAACAGUGCAACUAAGUGAAAUAUUAUAAUAAUAAGUGAGCGAACUACAAGAAACCCUACCCAAGUUACGAACCGACAAAUAAACCAACAGCAAAUACACAAACAUUAAUCAAAAUUCAAAGCCAACAAACCACAAUGGCAGUAGCAGCGCCAACACAAAUAGAACUGUCUGACUCGAAUAUGAUUCAAGUCGAAAGACAAAUACACGCAAUCGAGGUUUUCAACGGAGAUCCUAACACCUUGUACACUUUCAUCAGUCGCAUCGACUUCAUCUUGGCUCUUUAUCAGACUACAGAUGAAAGGCAGAAGUUAAUAAUCUUUGGACACAUCGAACGGAACAUCAGUGGCGAUGUUAUCCGCGCCCUCGGAGUGACCAACCUCAGCAACUGGAGUGAACUCAGGACUCAACUUAUACUUAACUACAAGCCCCAAGCACCGAACCACCAACUUCUAGAGGAAUUCAGGAACACACAAUAUCGAGGCCCCUGGUUCAUCAUAAUACUCCUCCUCACGUCUACAAAAUUAUGCCAAACCCAACAACUUCAAAUCAACAACAUUGACACUAACCACGGAUACCUCCUAUUUUCCGAUAAAUCGAUUCAAAUCCCUUCAGAAUACGAACAUCAUUGUCUUCGCGUAAACCUUUCCGAUAUAGAUAACCUAACCCACUAUUUUAACAAUAAGAUAACUAACUACACUAAUAUUCCCCAAAUUUACCUUUUGUACAAUAAAAUGCGAAGAGAACUUAGCGGAAUAACUUUACACCAGACAAAUAGACAGAAACGAGGACUAAUCAACAUAGUAGGAUCAGCGUUUAAAUAUUUAUUUGGAACAUUAGAUAACAAUGACCGAACAAAGAUUGAAAAACAAUUAGAAUCAGUAGCAACAAGUUCAAUAAAUCUACAUGAAAUAAAUGACAUAAUUCAACUCAUUAACAGUAACAUACAAAGAACAAAAGAAUUCUUAGACGAACAUAGUAACAGAGAACAGUUAUUAUAUGAACUUAUCCAAUUUACCGAGUAUAUAGAAGACAUUGCAAUGGGAAUGCAACUUUCACGACUAGGACUAUUUAAUCCCAAAUUACUCAAUUACGACAAACUAGAGAACGUUGACAACAGUAACAUCUUACAAAUUAAAACAUCAACCUGGAUUAGUACUAACCAAAUACUUAUCAUAGCACAUAUCCCCAUUAAGCAAAAAACUGUCCACACAAUUAACAUAAUACCUUACCCAGAUAAUAACGGGUACCAACUCGAUCACAACGAAAAAGAUACUUAUUUUGAAGAACAUGGCAAAAUUUAUAAUCAAAAUAGUAAAGAAAUAAGUAACGAAUGUAUUAAGAACAUUAUAAAAAGAACUAAACCAAUUUGCAAUUUUGUCCCCACAACAGUUAACCAGAUAAUUAAAUACGUUGAACCAAACAAUAUCCUUACUUGGAACAUAAAGAAUACUAUUAUAGAACAAGAUUGCCAAGAAAGAAAAGAAGAAAAAUGUAACAAUUAACGGCAAUAAAAUAAUAACAAUAAAACAAUGUAAAAUUAAAAUAGGAAAGAUAACAUUAAACGAAAACCAGCUAAAUCCCGAAAUAAAUCUAACCCCAUUGUACACACCCAUUGAACUAAUAAAAAUAAAACCAAUAGAACAUAAGGACAUUGUAAAACUAAUAUCAAAUAAUAAUAUUACAGUCUCUAUUAUUGUAUCACUCAUUAGCCUCACAUUUUGUAUAGUUUGUAUCUACUUAAAACUAAAAACAACAAAAGCAAUUAUGGAAACACAGGAUACAAACCCAACUGCAUUACCAAGAUUAUAUGCGUCAACCCCAACAGAAGCAUAAGCUUCCUUUUAAGGGGAGGGAAGUAGCAUAAUAUGCUUCUCAUAUUACGCUUACAUAAACUUAAACCUAACAAAAACAACGCGCAUACAAUCUUGCGCGUGCAUAAAUACACAACUUAACGUAACGAAACUUGAAUCCACAAAAAAGUAAAGCGCAUGAUUGUUGUAUAACUUCAUCAUUCUUUUUGCAUGCACUUAAACACAAAUAAAUAACACUGCUGACAAACACAUUUCCGUUUCUCGCGACUUACUUCGAGCCGAUCAAAACUCUGUACAUUCAGUCUUAAGCUGACAGUUUUAAAAUAAAGACGCUCACCGAAAUCGUUCGUGUUUCAAUUUAUACUUGGCUUCAGCGUUGAUCUUUGUCUUCGUUACAGACGGAUCAUUUAUUUGACUCAAAAAUAGUAACUACUUUUGGCGUCUGCCAAAAAGUCGCUGCAGCGAUUGUGUUGUGCUAAUUAUUGCGAUAACAGUAUGGCUAUGACAACUAACACAAAACACAAUUAUUGAUGGGAGAGGAGCCACUAUUAUUGACGGCCGUGCCCAUCAAACAUAGGGACUUGCCGACACUGCCAGAGGCCUUGCAAGAAAAUCCAGCCGAUGGACCCCGCCCACUCACAAUAGCCGAGUACCGGGCCAGACAAGAGAAAAGUGCACCUAAAAAACACAAAAGAAGUGGAAAACGGAUAAAACUACUACAUCAACGGCGACUGGUCAAGGAGAUGACCCAGUUAGCAAAGGACGAGGCAUCCCGACAACGCUACAAAGAGCGUCUUGAAGACAUAGAAAACAAGCUUUGCAAAGGUACGAAACAACGCAAACGGGCUGCAUAAAUGCCAAUGCCCCAAUUUGCCUAUAUA